rnacentral:rRNA from 1 species
UCAAAUUUGAAAUCUGGCUCUUUUAGAGUCCGAGUUGUAAUUUGCAGAGGGCGCUUUGGCUUUGGCAGCGGUCCAAGUUCCUUGGAACAGGACGUCACAGAGGGUGAGAAUCCCGUACGUGGUCGCUGGCUAUUGCCGUGUAAAGCCCCUUCGACGAGUCGAGUUGUUUGGGAAUGCAGCUCUAAAUGGGAGGUACAUUUCUUCUAAAGCUAAAUAUUGGCCAGAGACCGAUAGCGCACAAGUAGAGUGAUCGAAAGAUGAAAAGCACUUUGGAAAGAGAGUCAAACAGCACGUGAAAUUGUUGAAAGGGAAGCGCUUGCAGCCAGACUUGCUUACAGUUGCUCAUCCGGGUUUCUACCCGGUGCACUCUUCUGUAGGCAGGCCAGCAUCAGUUUGGGCGGUAGGAUAAAGGUCUCUGUCACGUACCUCCUUUCGGGGAGGCCUUAUAGGGGAGACGACAUACUACCAGCCUGGACUGAGGUCCGCGCAUCUGCUAGGAUGCUGGCGUAAUGGCUGUAAGCGGCCCGUCUUGAAACACGGACCAAGGAGUCUAACAUCUAUGCGAGUGUUUGGGUGUCAAGCCCGAGCGCGUAAUGAAAGUGAACGGAGGUGGGAACCCGCAAGGGUGCACCAUCGACCGAUCCUGAUGUCUUCGGAAGGAUUUGAGUAAGAGCAUGGCUGUUGGGACCCGAAAGAUGGUGAACUAUGCUUGAAUAGGGUGAAGCCAGAGGAAACUCUGGUGGAGGCUCGCAGCGGUUCUGACGUGCAAAUCGAUCGUCAAAUUUGGGCAUAGGGGCGAAAGACUAAUCG